rnacentral:rRNA from 1 species
AAUGAACGCUAGCUACAGGUUUAACACAUGCAAGUCGAGGGGCAGCAUGAAAGGAACUUCGGUUCUUUUUGAUGGCGACCGGCGCACGGGUGCGUAACGCGUAUCGAACCUGCCUCAUACUCGGGGAUAGCCUUGCGAAAGUAAGAUUAAUACCCGGCGGUCUCGGAUGGCCGCAUGACUAUCCGAGUGAAGAUUUAUCGGUAUGAGAUGGCGAUGCGUCCCAUUAGCUAGUUGGUGAGGUAAUGGCUCACCAAGGCAUCGAUGGGUAGGGGUUCUGAGAGGAAGGUCCCCCACACUGGAACUGAGACACGGUCCAAACUCCUACGGGAGGCAGCAGUGAGGAAUAUUGGUCAAUGGACGAAAGUCUGAACCAGCCAAGUAGCGUGCAGGAUGACGGCCCUCUGGGUUGUAAACUGCUUUUAGUUGGGAAUAAAAAGAGGGACGUGUCCCUUAUUGUAUGUACCAUCAGAAAAAGGACCGGCUAAUUCCGUGCCAGCAGCCGCGGUAAUACGGAAGGUCCAGGCGUUAUCCGGAUUUAUUGGGUUUAAAGGGAGCGUAGAUGGGUUGUUAAGUCAGUUGUGAAAGUUUGCGGCUCAACCGUAAAAUUGCAAUUGAUACUGGCAGUCUUGAGUACAGUUGAGGUAGGCGGAAUUCGUGGUGUAGCGGUGAAAUGCUUAGAUAUCACGAAGAACUCCGAUUGCGAAGGCAGCUUACUAACCUGUAACUGACAUUGAUGCUCGAAAGUGUGGGUAUCAAACAGG